rnacentral:rRNA from 1 species
CAGCCGCCGCGGUAAUACGGAGGAUCCAAGCGUUCUCCGGAUUUAUUGGGUUUAAAGGGUGCGUAGGCGGCUUAUUAAGUCAGGGGUGAAAGACGGUGGCUCAACCAUCGCAGUGCCUUUGAUACUGAUGAGCUUGAAUAUACUUGAGGUAGGCGGAAUGUGACAAGUAGCGGUGAAAUGCAUAGAUAUGUCACAGAACACCGAUUGCGAAGGCAGCUUACCAAGGUAUGAUUGACGCUGAGGCACGAAAGCGUGGGGAUCAAACAGGAUGAGAUACCCUGGUAGUCCACGCCCUAAACGAUGAAUACUCGAUGUUGGCGAUAUACAGUCAGCGUCCAAGCGAAAGCGUUAAGUAUUCCACCUGGGGAGUACGGCCGCAAGGUUGAAACUUAAAGGAAUUGGCGGG